rnacentral:rRNA from 1 species
GACGAACGCUGGCGGCGUGCUUAACACAUGCAAGUCGAGCGGUAAGGCCCUUUCGGGGGUACACGAGCGGCGAACGGGUGAGUAACACGUGGGUGACCUGCCCUCAGCUCUGGGAUAAGCCUGGGAAACCGGGUCUAAUACCGGAUAUGACUCCAUGACGCAUGUUGUGGGGUGGAAAGCCUUGUGCGGCUGAGGAUGGGCCCGCGGCCUAUCAGCUUGUUGGUGGGGUGACGGCCUACCAAGGCGACGACGGGUAGCCGGCCUGAGAGGGCGACCGGCCACACUGGGACUGAGACACGGCCCAGACUCCCACGGGAGGCAGCAGUGGGGAAUCUUGCGCAAUGGGCGAAAGCCUGACGCAGCGACGCCGCGUGAGGGAUGACGGCCU